UGGGGAAUUUUGGACAAUGGGGGCAACCCUGAUCCAGCAAUGCCGCGUGUGUGAAGAAGGCCUUCGGGUUGUAAAGCACUUUUGUUCGGGAAGAAAACGUGUGGACGAAUAGUUUGCAUGGAUGACGGUACCGGAAGAAUAAGCACCGGCUAACUACGUGCCAGCAGCCGCGGUAAUACGUAGGGUGCGAGCGUUAAUCGGAAUGACUGGGCGUAAAGCGUGCGCAGGCGGUUUUGUAAGCCAGAUGUGAAAUCCCCGGGCUUAACCUGGGAAUGGCAUUUGGGACUGCAAGGCUCGAGUGCGGCAGAGGAGACUGGAAUUCCUGGUGUAGCAGUGAAAUGCGUAGAUAUCAGGAGGAACACCGAUUGGCGAAGGCAGGUCUCUGGGCUGACACUGACGCUCAUGCACG
rnacentral:rRNA from 1 species